rnacentral:tRNA from 1 species
GGCCACGUAGUUUAAUGGAUAGAAUGGGGGAUUCCGGUUCCUCUGAUAUGGGUUCGAGUCCCAUCGAGGUCA